rnacentral:lncRNA from 1 species
UAGAAAUUACCCAAAUCUAAAUAAUUACAAGGGUAGUUUUGUAGUUUUGAGGAGAAAAUAAAAUUCUCAUUUUUAACUGUGACUUUCUAACUAAAAACAAUUUGAAGCAACUGUAAUUUUUUACUUUACUUUUUCUAUCCCAAGAAGGAUCUUUUUCUUCUCUUUUAUUCUUUUCCUUUCUCUGACUUCACUUCAGCAGAUGAGUCACAAAGGCAGUCAUAGAACUCUCUUUUUGUCUUAGGAUUCUAUCAACAGAGACUGAGCUAUUCCAGACAGAGCCUACUAGACACCCCUGCAUCCUAAGAAUACCAUGCAGAAGACUGAAGCUGGAUCCUUAUCUUUUACCAUAUAUGAAAAUACACCAAACUGAAUCCAACAUUUUAAAUGUAAUAUACAGAAGCACCUUUUUCCAGCUUCAGUAUUCUUGGAGGUAUUGCAUAGCCAUUCACCUCUGUAAGUACACUAUUUUGUGUUAUUUUCCCCUUCUCCAAUUGGAGCAUAGUUGGAUAAGGGUAUCCAUCCCUUUUGAUUAAUAAAUAUGAUUUGUUUGCUUCUCUUAGCAGUUUGAAUAAGAAUAAAGGGGCAAUAACUAUAUGGCUGCUUGUGCUGAAGCUAAGGGGAAGAUGACAUGUUACUAAUCUCAUUCAUAAAUAAUUCUUUUCCUCCACUGUGCUGCUAUUGUUUGCAUGCCUUUUUUUUUCAGCAUGUAAAAGCAUUUUUAACUUACAUUUUAUUCUUUGUUCUUAUUUAUCCCUCCCUACAAAAAACCAGAUAAAAUAAAACUCUUGAGGGUAGGUGCCAUGGCUUACUCAUUUUGAAUUCUGAUCCAUGUCUAGGAUAGUGUCUAAUAAAUAGUAUAGUAUAGAUUAAACAAUUUUGCUGCUUUUGUCGAGUUGCAUUUAUGGCCUCUUUUGCUGAGUUUUUUUAUGCCUCCUGAGAUGUAUUACAGUGACCUCAUAACUUAAUCCUAUUACAUUCAUUUAUGAUCCUGAUAACCAAGGCCAAUUUGAAUUUUGGAAGUAUUUCCUGC